rnacentral:misc_RNA from 1 species
GAUUGUGCUGAAGCUGCAAUGCCAGUCCUGUAAGCAUGUCUCACAACACCCGAUUAAGAGGUGCAAGCAUUUUGAGAUCGGUGGAGAUAAGAAAGGGAAGGGAACAUCUCUCUUCUAGUUUGUUUUGCAACUGUGCACUUGUUUGGGAAUGGGCUGUGAAUGCUGCUGUUUGACAUUAGAUCUGGCUAAACAGCUUAUUUAUGUAGAACUAUGUUGAACUCCUGAAAGUUAAUUUUGCUGCUUUACUUUUGCUUAAAAUCUAUGGAUAUUUUGAUUUUACCGAUGCUGAACCAUGGUUUUUUGAUUUGCCUUUCUACAAGUUGGCUCCCAGAAUGCAUUUGU